rnacentral:rRNA from 1 species
GAUGAACGCUGACAGAAUGCUUAACACAUGCAAGUCUACUUGAACUUCGGUUUGGGUGGCGGACGGGUGAGUAACGCGUAAAGAACUUGCCUCACAGAUAGGGACAACAUUUGGAAACGAAUGCUAAUACCUGAUAUUAUGAUUUUAGGGCAUCCUAGAAUUAUGAAAGCUAUAUGCACUGUGAGAGAGCUUUGCGUCCCAUUAGCUAGUUGGAGAGGUAACGGCUCACCAAGGCGAUGAUGGGUAGCCGGCCUGAGAGGGUGAUCGGCCACAAGGGGACUGAGACACGGCCCUUACUCCUACGGGAGGCAGCAGUGGGGAAUAUUGGACAAUGGACCAAGAGUCUGAUCCAGCAAUUCUGUAUGCACGAUGAAGUUUUUCGGAAUGUAAAGUGCUUUCAGUUGGGAAGAAAAAAAUGACGGUACCAACAGAAGAAGUGACGGCUAAAUACGUG